GACGAACGCUGGCGGCGUGCUUAACACAUGCAAGUCGAACGGAAAGGCCCUGCUUUUGUGGGGUGCUCGAGUGGCGAACGGGUGAGUAACACGUGAGUAACCUGCCCUUGACUUUGGGAUAACUUCAGGAAACUGGGGCUAAUACCGGAUAGGAGCUCCUGCUGCAUGGUGGGGGUUGGAAAGUUUCGGCGGUUGGGGAUGGACUCGCGGCUUAUCAGCUUGUUGGUGGGGUAGUGGCUUACCAAGGCUUUGACGGAUAGCCGGCCUGAGAGGGUGACCGGCCACAUUGGGACUGAGAUACGGCCCAGACUCCUACGGGAGGCAGCAGUGGGGAAUAUUGCACAAUGGGCGGAAGCCUGAUGCAGCAACGCCGCGUGCGGGAUGACGGCCUUCGGGUUGUAAACCGCUUUCGCCUGUGACGAAGCGUGAGUGACGGUAAUGGGUAAAGAAGCACCGGCCAACUACGUG
rnacentral:rRNA from 1 species